UGUUUACAGCAUAGUGUUAAUGCACCGGAUCCCAUUAGAAAUCCAUAGUUAAGCAUGCUCGGGCUAGAGUAGUACUAGGAUGGGUGACCGCCCAUGAAGUCUUAGUGUUUUAGAUGC
rnacentral:rRNA from 1 species